AUGACAGCGACGGCGACGGCAUUCCCGCCGCACGCCUCCAUCUGCUCCCUCAUCUCCUUCCUCGGCCACCACCUCGCCGCGCUCCUCGCCGACCCGGCCGACCUCCUCGCCACGCGGCGCCGGUGCGUCAAGCUGCUCGCGGGGCCUUCCCCGCGCCCGGCCUCCUCGGCCGACGGCGACGACGACGACGCCGUCCUCGCCGCUCUGCAGGGCGCCAUCGACUCGCUCCCGUCCGCGGCCUCCGCGGAAGCGCCCGGAGACGCGGGGCUCCUCCACGACGUCGAGGCGGCGCUGCAGGCGCCCGCGCUGCUGCCGGAGGAGGGGCGGACGGCGGGGCGGGACAACCGGGUCGUCGCCGCGUGCGCCUACUUCUACCUGGCCCUGGUGCGGGCGGCGCAGGGGGACGCGUGGCAGAUGGCCGCGCACUUCCUGCAGGCGGUGCUCGUCUCCCCCGCCGCGCUGGCCGGCGGCGGGCUCGCGCCCCGCGCGCUCUGGGACGGGCUGUUCGACGAGGCCGUCCUCGCGCGCGCCGGCGGCGCCGGCGCCAGCGAGGAGGACGCGGCGCGGCGGGCCGCCAGGCGGUACAAGGACUGGCUCAUGUACUACAGGGUCGUGGCCGCCGCGCCCGAUGGCGCCGGCGCCUCGGCCGACGGUGGCGGGUGCUUUCAGCCGGGAAAAUCUGCAGGCUCUGUGAUUCCAAGAUGGAGAAAUGUAUCUGAGGAGACGACGGCCCAAUGGAUCGGACAUGAGGAGAAGAGCACGGCCUCCGUCUCCAACAUCGGCGGCCAUGGUGGCUUCGCCGAGCUGAAGUACUUUCUCAGCUGUGCCGAUCAGGAGUUUCAGGAAGAUGCCAAGGGGAGCUCUGACAGCAGGUGCCUCCAUGAGAUGCUCGAGGAGGCCCAGUCCGACUCCCCGGUUUCAUUCUACUCGCAUGUUGAUUCUAGCGAAGCAAGCGACAGCGAGGCAGCUCUACAUGACAAAGGGAGGUCAGCAAAGAUUAUGCCUAUUAAUGCAGAUUUCUUGUCAAGUAAACUCCAUGAAAGAUCAUGCCACAACAAGAGUCUAACAUGGUGCACUUCUCCUGAGAAUGCAAUGAUAUAUGCCCCCGAAUCUCCACUUUACACUGUCGAUGACGCUGAGAUGCAACCAAACAACUUGCAAUUAAGCAGAUCACAAGGCUCACCGAACAGUCUGUCAACUUCAGUCUUCGAUCUGCACAAUGCAGACUCAUACGCCGUGUCCAACUAUUUUAACAAGGAUGACAUUUCUCCACAAUGCACACCCAGGCAUGAUCUCAGGUGCUUCAGCAACUUCUCAACCAAAUUCAUCAAGAGAAGUGCUCUAUCCGACCUAGUGUCUCGAGGAAGCAUGAGUAGGAAAUUCAAACCUUUCUCAAACAGUGAUGACUGGAGCGAUGCCAGCUCGCGCAGCGGGAACAACAGUCAGGUUGACUUUCUUGAAAGAUUCGAGAAGGCGGUAUCAAAACUAUUGGUUUCUGACGGGCUAGAAAGCUGCCUAGAUGCCAGCUCAGAAGUCACAACUAUAUGGCAGCUGCUGAGCCAUACAUCUGAAGUGAGACACAAACCGUCAGUAAGGCAAGACAUCCUUGAACAACUGUUUGAUAGCAUUUCAACAGACAAGAAGGAUAAAGUGAUCAGAGCAUCAGUUUAUGUUCUAGUGCUUAUGAUAUCUGAAGAUAGGAAUGUAAUGAGAGACAUCAAGAGGAAAGACUUCUAUUUAUCCAAUUUAGCCACUGUGUUGAAGAGAGAUGUGCAUGAAGCGGUCAUUCUGAUAUAUUUAUUGGAUCCUUCACCUUCAGAGAUAAAAAACUUGGAGCUGUUACCUUCACUUCUACACGUGGCCUGUAACACUGCCACCCAAAAAUGGCCUACGCUGCUUCCACUGACGCCAACAUCUGCAUCGAUAGCUCUCAUUGAGAUCUUAGUGACAGCAUUCGACUAUGUAACGAAUAAUGUUCACUUGGCCACAAUCAGCUCUCCUCCUAUUCUCUCUAAGCUUGUUGAUGUUGCAAAGAACAACAACUUGGAAGAAGGCAUGGCCCUGGCAGCUAUUCUCGUCAGGUGUGUGCGACUUAGCGGAAACUGUAAGAAGUUUCUUUCACAGGCUACUCCAGUGGAACCUUUCCUUCACCUUCUCAGAAGGAAAGAGCAGCGUGUCAAGUACGCUGCGCUUGAAUACUUCCAUGAGAUUCUUCAGAUUCCUCGGUCCUCUGCAAUUUCUUUGCUACAAAAAAUAUGGCAGCUAGGAGGCAUUGCUAUUAUGCAUACAUUGGUGGCCUGCCUCCAUCAAACUGAACCUGAGCAACGGGUUUUAGCGGCUAAUCUCCUCCUUCAAUUGGAUAUGCUGGAAAACCCAGAUGGAAGGAGUGUCUUCAAAGAUGAAGCAGUGGAGGUCCUACUGGAAUCUCUAUCAUCUCAAGAAAAUUUCACUGCACAAGCACUAGCAGCGUCUUUUCUGUCAAAUCUUGGAGGGACUUAUUCCUGGUCAGGAGAAUCCUACACUGCUGCAUGGCUAUCAAAGAAAGCAGGUCUCACCUCGAAAUCUCAUAGAAAUAUGAUCAGGAACAUCGACUGGCAGGAUGCUUGCCUUCAGGAUACAGAAAUAAACUCAUGGAGCAACAAAUUUGCACGAGCAAUUAUAGGAAUAGGAGUGCCAUUUAUCAGUGCACUAGCCAAAGGAUUGCAAAGCAAGGUGAAGGGAACCUCACACGACUGCCUAGUAUGCGCCGCAUGGCUUGCAAGUGAGCUGGCUUCCCUUGGUGAAAAUGAUAUAAGAUAUUAUGCUUGUGAGAUCUUGUUGCUUGACAUAGUGCACCACCUUCAUCCGGGAAACGAGCUUGACGAAAGGGUUCUAGCGUGCAUGUGUGUAUAUAACUACACCUCUGGAAAAGGUAAGCAAAAGUUGAUGAGCUUGUCAGAGGGUUCGCGAGAAUCCCUUAGGAGGCUUUCAUCAUUCACAUGGAUGGCUGAGGAGUUACUUCAAGUUACAGAUUACUACCUCCCUAGGAAACCACGUGUAUCAUGUGUACAUACACAAAUCCUAGAGAUUGGUCAACCUGGCAAUGGAGCAGCAACUGCUAUAACAUUCUUUAGAGGGCAGCUCUUUGUUGGUUACUUCAAUGGCACCAUCAGGGCAUGGGAUAUAAAAGGCCAGAGAGCAGUAAUCAUCAGAGAGGUUAAAGAGCACAAGAAAGCAGUCACGUGUUUUGCACUAUCAGAAACUGGACAAAAUCUCUUGAGCGGAUCAGCUGACAAAUCUAUUCGGGUAUGGAAAAUGGCACAGCGCAAGCUUGAGUGUGUUGAGGUAUUUCAAAUAAAAGAGGCUGUGCAGAAGUUUGAUAUUUACGGUGACAAAAUUAUUGUACUUACACAUAAAAACGUUCUGAAGUUCUCUUGUUCAGCAAGAAGCACCCAGACAUUUUACAAGAGCAAGCAUGUAAAAUCCUUAGCUCUUUCUCAGGGAAAAGCUUACCUCGGCUGCGGAGACUUGAGUAUACAGGAAUUAGAUGUAUCAGUAGAAUCGAAGAUUGAGAUAAGAGCACCUACAAGAAGCUGGAGAAUCAGUAAGCAAUCAAUUAGCUCCAUAGUACUAUAUAAAGAUUGGAUGUACUGUGGUGGUUCUCAAGUGGAAGGAUCUGCCAUAAAGGACUGGAAAAGGCGAUGCAAGCCCACGAUGACAAUGCCAAUGCCAAAGGGAACAAAUGUAGAGGCAAUGGCAGUGGUCGAGGACUUCAUCUACUUGACCUGCAAUAAAAGCCCAAGUGUCAUUCAGAUAUGGUUGAGAGAGAAGCAGCAGAAAGUUGGAAGGCUGUCUGCAGGGAGUAAGAUAACGAGCAUCUUCACCGCAAACGACAUCAUUUUCUGUGGAACUGAAACCGGGUUAAUCAAGGCAUGGAUCCCCUUGUGA
rnacentral:rRNA from 1 species